rnacentral:rRNA from 1 species
GCGACCUACCCAUGAGCAGGAUGAAGCGAAAGUAAAAUUUCGUGGAGGUCCGAACCCACGAGCGUUGAAAAGCUCGGGGAUGACUUGUGGGUAGCGGUGAAAUUCCAAUCGAGCCCGGAGAUAGCUGGUUCUCCCCGAAAUAGCUUUAGGGCUAGCCUCAAGGUGAGAGAUACGGAGGUAGAGCACUGAAUGUCCUAGGGGGUAUUGCACCUACCGAAGACUAUCAAACUCCGAAUGCCGUCAUCUUAUACUUGGGAGUCAGACUGUGGGUGAUAAGAUUCAUAGUCGAAAGGGCAACAGCCCAGAUCGUCAGCUAAGGUCCCUAAAUGUAAGUUAAGUGGUAAAGGAUGUGGGAUUGCACAGACAACCAGGAUGUUGGCUUAGAAGCAGCCACUCAUUCAAAGAGUGCGUAAUAGCUCACUGGUCGAGUGAUCCUGCGCCGAAGAUUUCCGGGGCUAAAACUUACUACCGAAGCUACGGCAUCAGUAAUGAUGGGUAGGGGAGCUUCCCAUACGGGUUGAAGCAUGACCGUAAGGACAUGUGGACAGUAUGGGAGUGAGAAUGUUGGCAUGAGUAGCGAGAUGUGGGUGAGAAUCCCACAGGCCGUAAACCCAAGGUUUCCAGGGGAAGGUUCGUCCGCCCUGGGUUAGUCGGGACCUAAGCUGAGGCCGAAAGGCGUAGGUGAUGGACAACAGGUUGAUAUUCCUGUACUACCGAUAACCAUUUGAGAGAAGGGAUGACACAGUAGGAUAAGCUAAGCACACUGUUGGUUAUGUGUGCCCAAGCAUUGAGGCAGUCAAAGUAGGCAAAUCCGCUUUGAUAAUGCUGGGAUGUGAUGGGGAGCGAAAUUUAGUAGCGAAGUAGCUGAUUUCACACUGUCAAGAAAAGUCUCUAUCGAGGUUAAAGGUACCCGUACCGCAAACCGACACAGGUGGGUGAGGAGAGUAUCCUAAGGCCAGCGAGAGAACUGUUGUUAAGGAACUCGGCAAAAUGACCCCGUAACUUAGGGAUAAGGGGUGCCACCAUCAGGUGGCCGCAGAGAAUAGGCCCAAGCGACUGUUUACCAAAAACAUAGGUUUCUGCUAAGUCGCAAGACGAUGUAUAGGAGCUGACGCCUGCCCGGUGCUGGAAGGUUAAGGGGAUCUGUUAGAGCAAUCGAAGCAGUGAACUUAAGCCCCAGUAAACGGCGGCCGUAACUAUAACGGUCCUAAGGUAGCGAAAUUCCUUGUCGGGUAAGUUCCGACCCGCACGAAAGGCGUAACGAUUUGGGCACUGUCUCAACAACAGACUCGGUGAAAUUGUAAUUCCGGUGAAGAUGCCGGAUACCUGCGACAGGACGGAAAGACCCCAUGGAGCUUUACUGUAGCUUGACAUUGGGUCUUGGUACUACAUGUACAGGAUAGGUGGGAGGCUUUGAAACCAGGACGCCAGUUUUGGCGGAGCCAUCCUUGGGAUACCACCCUUGUAGUACUGGGACUCUAACCAUAGGCCAUGAAUCUGGUCUUGGGACACUGUCAGGUGGGCAGUUUGACUGGGGCGGUCGCCUCCCAAAAGGUAACGGAGGCGCUCAAAGGUUCUCUCAGUACGGUCGGAAAUCGUACGUAGAGUGUAAAGGCAAAAGAGAGCUUGAUUGCAAGACAUACAGGUCGAGCAAGGAUGAAAAUCGGACUUAGUGAUCCGGUGGUUCUGCGUGGAAGGGCCAUCGCUCAACGGAUAAAAGCUACCCUGGGGAUAACAGGCUUAUCUCCCCCAAGAGUCCACAUCGACGGGGAGGUUUGGCACCUCGAUGUCGGCUCAUCACAUCCUGGGGCUGUAGUAGGUCCCAAGGGUUGGGCUGUUCGCCCAUUAAAGUGGUACGCGAGCUGGGUUCAGAACGUCGUGAGACAGUUCGGUCCCUAUCCGUCGCAGGCGUAGGAAAUUUGAGAAGACCUGUCCUUAGUACGAGAGGACCGGGAUGGACG